GAAAGGGCAAGGCCUUAUUGAGUAAAUUUAAAGUCAAGUUUAGAGAGUUUUCGGUUGGUGCAAGAAAAUCAUGACUUAAAUUGAAAGUAAGUAAGGGGCCGAGUUGGUGAACUGUUUAGUAGCUAAUUCCGUAUUCUCUGCGUUAAGGAGAUGAAGAUAAGACUUGAGAAAGUCUUGAAUUCAGGUGGUACCGCGAAAAAUUCGCCCUGAUA
rnacentral:ncRNA from 1 species